ACCCGCUGAACUUAAGCAUAUCAAUAAGCGGAGGAAAAGAAACUAACAAGGAUUCCCCUAGUAACGGCGAGUGAAGCGGGAUGAGCUCAAAUUUAAAAUCUUGCAGCCUCAGGUUGUACGAGUUGUAGUCUAGAGAAUCGUUUUCCGCGUUGGCCUGUGUACAAGUCCCUUGGAACAGGGCGUCAUAGAGGGUGAGAAUCCCGUCCUUGACACAGACUACCAAUGCUUUGUGAUGCGAUCUCGAAGAGUCGAGUUGUUUGGGAAUGCAGCUCAAAAUGGGUGGUAAAUUCCAUCUAAAGCUAAAUAUUUGCGAGAGACCGAUAGCGAACAAGUACCGUGAGGGAAAGAUGAAAAGCACUUUGGAAAGAGAGUUAAACAGUACGUGAAAUUGUUAAAAGGGAAACGAUUGAAGUCAGUCAUGCUUUCCGAGACUCAGCCGAUUCUGUCGGUGUACUUCUCGGUUUGCAGGCCAGCAUCAGUUUCGAUCUGUGGAAAAGGUUGGAGGGAACGUGGCAUCCUCGGAUGUGUUAUAGCCCUUCUUCGAAUACAUAGAGCGGGACUGAGGAACGCAGCGCGCCUUUUAUUAGGUUGGCCUUCGGGUACAUUCGCGCUUAGGAUGCUGGCAUAAUGGCUUUGAACGACCCGUCUUGAAACACGG
rnacentral:rRNA from 1 species